CAAAAUAGAAUCAUCUGAAUGAUCUUUCUUGGACAUACAUUUUGAAGUGACCCUUCGAAUUAAAAAGGUUCCUCAGCUGCUUUUGAGGAAAAACAUCAAUGUGCUUGGCCACUCUGGUUUUUAAAUGGUAUUCUGAACUAAAGCAAGGAUUGUUCAAGUUAGUUGAAAAUAGACCGUCUCUGGUUAAAUUAGUUCUACACCAAGCCUUUAGGUGGCAGUAAAACGAAUUGGCACAAUGCGAAUUCCACACACAAGCCACAAAGAAAGAAGCCAUCAGCCGCGGUCAACAGCACCUUCCUGAUUGAACAGAACCACGCGUUGUCUGUGUGGUUUACAAGUUUCUUGGCGAUAUGGGGGGAAAGUUCCUCACAUACCAACGGAAAAUGGGCUUCAUAUACAUGCUGCUGUCUCAUAAUAUGGCGAAGACGAGUCACCUGAAGGCCUAACUCGCCAUAGAAGACUGAAAGAAUUGUCCUGCAGGAUGCUGUGUCCUGCAAUCCUGUGUGCUGUGCUACAGACGCGUGUGGAGGUCAACCCAAAAUGGGCACAGUCUCACCACAGAAGAGUGAAAGAGGAUCCUGGCAGGGAGACGGUAGUGUCCUGCAGAAUGGUGAUGGGCCAAUCUUACAAGAGACCACAGAAAACUGAUAUAGUGAACUAUAGAAACAACAGUGCCUGCUGCAGUAUAACGAGGACACCCUGAGCAGAGAGCUCCAAUAGACCCAGGUCCAGUGUCUUGGCAGGGUGAAAUGGCACUGAUAUGGUGUCCUGCAGGAUGCUGUGUCCUGCAAUCCUGUGUGCUGUGCUACAGACGCGUGUGGAGGUCAACCCAAAAUGGGCACAGUCUCACCACAGAAGAGUGAAAGAGGCUCCCAGAAGUGAGACUGAGUGCCUGUUGCAGUAUGACGAGGACGCAGUGACCAGAGACCUUCAGUAGACCCUGCUGGCAUGAUUGGCGUCUGAAGAAUAUGAAAUCAACAGCAAUGUUUAUAAUGUUGUACAUACCUGUAUAGUCUGUAUUAAAAGGCAGUACCUGUA